rnacentral:rRNA from 1 species
GCGUAGGUGGUUCAGCAAGUUGGAUGUGAAAUCCCCGGGCUCAACCUGGGAACUGCAUCCAAAACUACUGAGCUAGAGUACGGUAGAGGGUGGUGGAAUUUCCUGUGUAGCGGUGAAAUGCGUAGAUAUAGGAAGGAACACCAGUGGCGAAGGCGACCACCUGGACUGAUACUGACACUGAGGUGCGAAAGCGUGGGGAGCAAACAGGAUUAGAUACCCCUGUAGUC